CAGAAACUACAAAGGAAGUUGACGGGGGCCCGCGACAAGCGGUGGAGCAUGUGGUUUAAUUCGAUGCAACGCGAAGAACCUUACCUGGUCUUGACAUCCCGGAGACCCUUAGGAAACUAGGGGGUGCUUCCAUCUGGAAGAAUCUGGAGACAGGUGCUGCAUGGCUGUCGUCAGCUCGUGUCGUGAGAUGUUGGGUUAAGUCCCGCAACGAGCGCAACCCUUGCCUUUAGUUGCCAGCAGUUCGGCUGGGCACUCUAAAGGGACUGCCGGUGUUAAACCGGAGGAAGGUGGGGAUGACGUCAAGUCCUCAUGGCCUUUAUGACCAGGGCUACACACGUACUACAAUGGCCGAUACAAAGGGCAGCGACACUGCGAGGUGAAGCCAAUCCCGUAAAAUCGGUCUCAGUCCGGAUUGGAGUCUGCAACUCGACUCCAUGAAGUUGGAAUCGCUAGUAAUCGUGGAUCAGCAUGCCACGGUGAAUACGUUCCCGGGCCUU
rnacentral:rRNA from 1 species